CUCCGAAUGCCGCAUAAAUGAUGUACGGGAGUCAGACUGCACGAGAUAAGUUGGGUAGUCAAAAGGGAAAGAGCCCAGACCUACAGCUAAGGUCCCAAAGUAUGUGUUAAGUGGAAAAGGAUGUGGGAUUUCGAAGACAACUAGGAUGUUGGCUUAGAAGCAGCCAUACAUUCAAAGAGUGCGUAAUAGCUCACUAGUCGAGAGGUCCUGCGCCGAAAAUGUCCGGGGCUGAAACACAACACCGAAGCUUAGGAAUGUAGUAAUACAUUGGUAGAGGAGCAUUCUGUACGGGAUGAAGCAGUACCGAUAAGGAGCUGUGGACUGUAUAGAAGAGAGAAUGCCGGAAUGAGUAGCGAGAUGGAGGUGGGAAUCCUCCAGGCCGAAUAUCUAAGGUUUCCAGAGUAAAGCUGAUCUGCUCUGGGUAAGUCGGGGCCUAAGGCGAGGUCGAAAGACGUAGUCGAUGGAUAACAGGUUGAAAUUCCUGUACCGCAUAUAAACAGAACUGUGGGGACACAGACAGGGAAUGGAAUCCGGGAAUGGAUAUCCCGGUGCAAGCGAGGUAGGAGUGCUGUUGGCAAAUCCGCAGCACGAUCUGAAGACGUGACGCGUACCGAACAUAAGUAGGGAAGUCCAGGCCCCUGGCUGUCAAGAAAAGCCGCUAUUGUUUUAUAUGUGCCCGUACCGCAAACCGACACAGGUGGAUGAGGAGAGAAUCCUAAGGCCGACGGGAGAAGUAUUGUUAAGGAACUCGGCAAAAUGACUCCGUAACUUCGGGAGAAGGAGUGCCAUGCGAAUGGCCGCAGAGAAUUGGCCCAAGCAACUGUUUAGCAAAAACACAGGUCUAUGCAAAACCGAAAGGUGAGGUAUAUGGGCUGACGCCUGCCCGGUGCUGGAAGGUUAAGAGGAGAGGUUAGAGCAAUCGAAGCUUUGAAUUGAAGCCCCAGUAAACGGCGGCCGUAACUAUAACGGUCCUAAGGUAGCGAAAUUCCUUGUCGGGUAAGUUCCGACCCGCACGAAAGGCGUAAUGAUUUGGGCACUGUCUCAACAAUGCACCCGGUGAAAUUGAAAUACCAGUGAAGAUGCUGGUUACCUGCGCCAGGACGGAAAGACCCCAUGGAGCUUUACUCCAGCUUGAUACUGGGAUUCG
rnacentral:rRNA from 1 species